rnacentral:ncRNA from 1 species
GAUCCUAUAGUAGCAGGAUGAAGAAGACUAUUAUUGAGAAAAAUAUAGUGGUCCUCCCCCUAUAUUAGGUGUGAGACUCCGUCAUAACAAAUGUUUUGCAUGAAACCUGAAAAACCCAACCUCAUUUCGGAUUACAGGCUGCAACUCGCCUGCAUGAAGCCAGAAUCGCUAGUAAUCUCCGGUCAGCCAUACGGCGGUGAAUCCAUUCCCAGGCCUUGUACACACUGCCCAUCACACUAUGGGAGUUGGCCAUGCCCCAAUUCGUUACCUUAACCAUAAGGAGGGGGAUUCCAAAGGAUGGGCUAGUGACUGGAGUGAAGUUGUAACAAGGUAUCUGUACUGGAAGGUGCGGCUGGAUCACCUCCUUU